rnacentral:lncRNA from 10 species
GGUGGGAAAGAAACUAACAUUCUCAGUGCACUUGCCAAAUGCCAGAUGUUAGGCUGAGAGUUAGCAUACGACAGCUGAGCUUUAAACCCAGGUCUGUGUGACUUUUGCUAAUAAACUGGUUGCCUCUCCAUAAUGUGCAUGUAACACUGAAGUCUUGUAACCAGAAGAACAAUGUGAUGGAAAUAGCCCCUUGGGAAAAUCACCUUGGCUGGGCUUUGUCGGGUUGGUGAGCAAAGGCUAGGGGAAGAAAUGCCACUUCAAACAUGCUGCUUACCGGGCUAAGCACAAUGGGCUGGGCCUCAGAACUUCCCAGAGAGCUUCCCUGCCCAUGAGUUCAUCCUGCCCCCAUGCUGUCCCCACAGGGCAGAGGGAAGAAAAGAUAUGUCUUACAGACCUCCCAGUCCACAUGCCCAUUGUACAGACAGGGAAGCCAAGACCAGGGAGUGCCAAGUCUCCUGCUUCUCAGCCCAUGCUCUCUUUUCCCCUGCCAGCCCGCUGAACCUACAUGUGGCUUUCCAUGUG